UGAGGUUGAAAACGAAAACGGGCUGCGUUCUUCAUUCCCUCUGCUGGCGUGGGAAGAGGAGGGCGUGCGUGGGCGUGGGCGCGGUUAAGUAAUUACGGAUUAUAUAAGGUGUGGGUGGACAGGUGAACUGCACAGGUGUUCGUGAUUAGCAGCCACCACCACCACCACUACUACUACUACUACUACUACUACUACUACUACUACUACAACAACAACAACAACUAUUGCCUGUGUUCUUUGUGUAGUGUGAAUGGUAGUGAAAUGAGAGUGCGUCUCCUCCAGAGUUUGUGAUCUAAUUGUUCGUGUUCCUGGAAAGAGAAACUUGUAAUGCAUAGAACUGUGAUUGAGAAAUAGCAAUGUGAUAAAACAAAGAAGUAAUAUACGAAGAGGAACAAAUAUUAUAGUUAUUUUUAGUAUUUUAUAAUGCCUGAAGGAAAAGUGUAUGACCACAGUUAAGUAUGUGUCAGAGAACCUAAGUUAAAUUAUAUGUCCGAGAAUCUAAUGUGUUAAAAGGAAAAAUUUAUAAUGAAAAGCAUGAAAAUCUUAUUCGUAUUUCUUAAAUCUGAAAAUUUUGACCAGAAUAAAUCCAACUUAAAUCAAACUUAACAAAAAUUGAGAAACAUUACAAGCAUGGCCACCGAACUCCUGUAAAAAUUAUAAGCACAUUGAUAAAAAUAUUUGGGGGGGACGGUAUGACACAGUGAGGCAGAGCUGGAGGGCAGUGGCUGGGUGUGGCAGUGUUGUGUUCAGGGUUUGCAUCUGAGCUGGGAAGUAAUGAAGGUUUCUUGACUCCAGGGUGCAGUUCUUGGUGUUUGGUGCUGCCUGUGUGAAGAGCAGUCAGUUAGCAGAGGGAAUGCAGGACUGAUGGAAGAGAAAUAUGAUGGAAGGUGAUGAAAGAGGAAAAUUAUGUACAGUAAUGAAAGAGGAAAAUGAUGGAAGGUGAUGAAAGAGAAAUGAUGGAAGGUGAUGAAAAAAAUGGAAGGUAAUGAUUGAAGAUAAAAAAUAAAGGUAACAAAAUAAGAUAGAAAAAAAUAGAAACAAUGAGAGUAGAAACAAUGAGAGAUAGGCAAGAUAUAAAAGAUAAUUUAAUUUCUUAGUCUACCAACUGAAAGAUGAUAUAGGGAAGUAGACUUUGAUGAAAUUGAAAUAUUUAAUGGAUUGGGAAAUAAAGAUCUUUGAGAUGAAUUAUUAGAGGAUAAGAAAGAGAUUGAUUUAAAGAAAUGAGGAAGCUAUUAAUGAAGCUAUCUGAAGCCUACACAGGUCGGCAUAUUCACUAAAGAUAUAUAGACAGUCAAGAGAAAUGCAUUAAGAAAACCACCGUACACCUUGUCAAUAACUUGUGACUGAAAGGCAGAGAAUGAGACCAAGCAUGGAAGGUAAACACAGAUAUGAUUUAUUUGACAGUUUGUUCAAGUUUAGAAGAAAAGUUUAAAUUUAUCUAUAUUCAAGUUUGUACAGGUGUGUUGGGGCUGUGCUGGCUUGGAUAUCUUGCAGGUGUGGUGGUGGUGGGUGCUGCUGCUGCCGCCCCCCUCACUUGUAGUCUAAGCAACACACCUGCCCUGCUGCUGCUGCUGCUGUGGACGUGAAGGACUCUACUUCAGGUGUUGGCAGUACUGGGGGAGAGACCGUCCUGUCCUGUCUUGUCUGAGUUCCCCCCACACUUCCCCACAGCAUACCGGCAAAGGGAGAGAGAUGUGACAGGAGAAAGGCAACAUCAAAUAAAGGAAGGGAAAGAACAGAUGUGCCAAGAGAUGCUAAGGAGGAAGACGCAUCAAUCCCACAUCUAAGGAAAAAGAUGUUUGUGAAGAUAAGGAAGAGGAGAUGACCUUGAGAAAGAAAAACAACCUGAGGAAGAAGAUAGUGAAGAUGAGAGAUGAUGUGUACCAAGGUGCUGAGAAAGAAGAGAGAAGAUUAUUUGUAUACUUGUCAUCCUGCUGUCUGUCUCUCCCUCCUGCAUGAGUGAACAUGUGUGUGAGACUCAGUGUGGCUGGCUGUGGUGCUGGUACAUGCAUGAGCUGCUGUGUGUUGUAAGUCCUUGAACUUCCCAACUAUGAUUAUUAUUGAUUGUUUUUUUUUUUUUUAAUAAAUUUUUUUUGCUGGAGAAGUUUGUGGUUUUUCUCCGGAGAGUGGUUUUUCUCCGGAGAGUCUUUUAAGUAUCUCUAAAAGUCCAUAGAGCUGACACCUUACUCCCCAUACACCACCACACCUCAACCUCCUCCCCACACCUCUUUGCUUAGCUGUGAAACUUGCUAGCUGUUGUGCUAGAAAUCUUGCUGUAUGACACUGGAAUCAAUCUUGCUGUAUGACAUUGGGGUCCCCACUGAAAUUCACUGUAUGACACAUCCUGUAUGAUGACACUCAACACUGACACCCUGUCUACCCAUCUACUUCUACCUCUCCCACCUCCUUUACUGACUGACCCCCAUCUACUUACUCUCCCUCCUCCCUGACUCUUGGGCUCUCUCUUCAAUAAGUCAGGGACAAACUCUGACUGACCUCUUCAAAGAGUCAGGUACAAAAGGGAUGGAUCUCUCUUCAUGGACUCUCGGACUCUGACCUCUUCAAAGAGUCAGGGACAAAGAAUCCAAGUUUGAAGCUGCCCAAGUGGAGUCUUGUCUAAUGUGAUGAGAAUAUAAUUUUAUUUUCUUGAAUUUGUUUUUGUUCUCAGCUCCUCCCCUGUAAAAGAAGUGAACAGUGUUCUUUCCCUGUGUAUAUUAAAAAUGGAUAUGAAU